GACGAACGCUGGCGGCGUGCUUAACACAUGCAAGUCGAGCGGUAAGGCCCUUCGGGUACGACGAGCGGCGAACGGGUGAGUAACACGUGGGUGACCUGCCCUCCACUUCGGGAUAAGCCCGGGAAACUGGGUCUAAUACCGGUUAGGACCUCCUCAUGCAUGUGGGGUGGUGGAAAGCUUGUGUCUUUGAUGCUUGCGGUGGGAGU
rnacentral:rRNA from 1 species